UUUUAUUUUAUCAUUUGAUUUCCUUGCCCUCGCAGUUAUGUAAAUCUUGAGGCAAAGGAGUUCAAAAGAGGUUCUUAUUUUAUACCUGGACAUUUCACUGGACAUUUUUUCUCAAGCUUUAUAAUUAAGAUUGGAGAACUUGUGGGUAUUUUAAAUAUAUACUAAAAUUUGUCCAAAUAGCCAAAGGCAAAGGGAAUGACCAACUGGGUAGCUGAUGAAUAUUUUCCUGGUAGAUGUACAACAAUGUUCCCCACAACUGGGAUGCUUUAUCCUUUGACAUUAAGAAUGCUGUUUGCAGAAGUAACAUUCCUUUGAACACUCAGCGUUCUGAAAUCGUGUCCCGCCGCAAGGACUCAAGUAGGACCGUGCCUUGCAUUGAAGAAGACAGCAUGAUGAGGAAGCUCAAGAAGUAGGAAAACGAAAAUUUAGGAUGUCAGGAUCAUGAGUUGUUAGGCACGCUGCUGAAAUUCCACAAGCUCACCAGAAGCUACUUUUCACAGACAGUCCCUUCAUCAUAAAAGCCUAGGACAGUAGAAUUGCACCUUCAACUGGCAUCUCUCCACCUUACAGGGUCCUAAAAGCUUUCAGAUCCACCUCAGGCCCAGGCAGAAGCAAAGUGGGAGAGGAAUUGAAGAAGCAAAAAUAAAUAUUAAAGUACAUAAGAAUUAAAUAUUACC
rnacentral:lncRNA from 1 species